GGAGCUCUGGUAAGGUGAGGAGGAUGUGUCAAUCUUCUGUGGUGGUUUUACACCUGCAAAGCCCCCAGAUUCAGUUGCUCUCCAGGCUGUCCCAGUGAACAAUAUCAGCUCUCACAUCAGAGGAUUUAAAUACUUGUACAAGGCAAUGUGAACAGCAGAAGGAAAGCGAGAUGACUUUACUAUUGCUGGGAAAAAGCAGGGUCCCUCUGAAGAUAAUGGGUCCCUUUGUUUGCAAGACAGAGAGAGAGCAAGACCCCAAGGAG